UGGGGAAUUUUGCGCAAUGGGGGAAACCCUGACGCAGCAACGCCGCGUGGAGGAUGAAGUCCUUCGGGACGUAAACUCCUUUCGAUCGGGACGAUUAUGACGGUACCGGAAGAAGAAGCCCCGGCUAACUUCGUGCCAGCAGCCGCGGUAAUACGAGGGGGGCAAGCGUUGUUCGGAUUUAUUGGGCGUAAAGGGCGCGUAGGCGGUUUGGCAAGUCUUGUGUGAAAUCUUUGGGCUCAACCCAAAGCCUGCAUAAGAAACUGCCGGGCUUGAGUAUGGGAGAGGUGAGUGGAAUUUCCGGUGUAGCGGUGAAAUGCGUAGAUAUCGGAAGGAACACCUGUGGCGAAAGCGGCUCACUGGACCAUUACUGACGCUGAGGCACGAAAGCUAGGGGAGCAAAC
rnacentral:rRNA from 1 species